rnacentral:rRNA from 1 species
UGGAUCCAGAACUUUGAUUCUGGCUCAGGAUGAACGCUAGCGGCAGGCUUAACACAUUGCAAGUCGAGGGGCAGCGCGGGAUAGCAAUAUUCUGGCGGCGACCGGCGGAAGGGUGCGUAACGCGUGAGCGACAUGCCCGUUGCCCGGGGACAACCGGUGGAAACGCCGACUAGUCCCCGAUGGGAUACGAUGCUGCAUGGCAUUGUAUUGGAAGUUACGGCGGCGACGGAUUGGCUCGCGUCCGAUUAGCUUGUUGGCGGGGUGGCGGCCCACCAAGGCUACGAUCGGUAGGGGUUCUGAGAGGAAGGCCCCCCACAAUGGGACUGAGACACGGCCCGUACUCCUACGGGAGGCAGCAGUGAGGAAUAUAGGUCAAUGGGCGGAAGCCUGAACCAGCCAUGCCGCGUGCGGGAAGGAGGCCCUAUGGGCUGUGAACCGCUUUUGCCUGGGGGCAAUAAGGGCGUCGCGCACGUCUGAUGAGAGUACCAGGCGAAUAAGCAUCGGCUAACUCCGUGCCAGCAGCCGCGGUAAUACGGGGGAUGCGAGCGUUAUCCGGGUUCAUUGGGUUUAAAGGGUGCGUAGGCUGUGCGUCAAGUCGGGGGUGAAAUUCCGGUGCUCAACACCGGGGCUGCCCUUGAUACUGUCGCGCUGGAGUGCGGAUGCCGCCGGAGGAAUGAGUGGUGUAGCGGUGAAAUGCUUAGAUAUCACUCAGAACACCGAUUGCGAAGGCAUCUGGCGAAUCCGUAACUGACGCUGAGGCACGAAAGCGUGGGGAUAGAACAGGAUUAGAUACCCUGGUAUUCCACGCCGUAAACGAUGAUGGCUAACCGCCGGCGACACACUGUCGGUGGCCAAGCGAAAGCGAUAAGCCAUCCACCUGGGGAGUACGUCGGCAACGAUGCAACUCAAAGGAAUUGACGGA